AGCAUAUCAAUAAGCGGAGGAAAAGAAACCAACAGGGAUUCCCCUAGUAACGGCGAGUGAAGCGGGAACAGCUCAAAUUUGAAAUCUGGCCCUUGGGUCCGAGUUGUAAUUUGCAGAGGAUGCUUUUGGUGCGGUGCCUUCCGAGUUCCCUGGAACGGGACGCCUUAGAGGGUGAGAGCCCCGUACGGUUGGCCACCAAGCCUGUGUAAAGCUCCUUCGACGAGUCGAGUAGUUUGGGAAUGCUGCUCAAAAUGGGAGGUAUAUUUCUUCUAAAGCUAAAUACUGGCCAGAGACCGAUAGCGCACAAGUAGAGUGAUCGAAAGAUGAAAAGCACUUUGAAAAGAGGGUUAAAUAGCACGUGAAAUUGUUGAAAGGGAAGGAUUUAUGACCAGACUUUUUCUGGGGGGAUCAUCCGGUGUUCUCACCGGUGCACUUCCCCCAGUUGAGGCCAGCAUCGGUUUCUGCCGGGGGAUAAAAGCUUCGGGAAUGUGGCUCCUUCGGGAGUGUUAUAGCCCGUUGCAUAAUACCCUGGCGGGGACCGAGGUUCGCGCAUUGCAAGGAUGCUGGCGUAAUGGUUAUUAAUCACCCGUCUUGAAACACGGACCAAGGAGUCGAACAUUUGUGCGAGUGUUUGGGUGUUAAACCCUCACGCGUAAUGAAAGUGAACGGAGGUGAGAGCCUUUCGGGGUGCAUCAUCGACCGAUCCUGAUGUCUUCGGAUGGAUUUGAGUAAGAGCAUAACUGUUCGGACCCGAAAGAUGGUGAACUAUGCGUGGAUAGGGUGAAGCCAGAGGAAACUCUGGUGGAGGCUCGCAGCGGUUCUGACGUGCAAAUCGAUCGUCAAAUCUGCGCAUGGGGGCGAAAGACUAAUCGAACCAUUGACCAGCGGUCAAAACAAUCACUAGGUGGUUAAGAGGGGGUCCGCGAGGACCAUUUGAAAAACCUA
rnacentral:rRNA from 2 species